UAUUUAAUAAAGAAAUAAAUGAUAGUUAGCUUGCGUCUACCACAGUAAUGGAGAAUCAGAAUGAAGUUCCCUGGGAAAGAAGAUACCACAUCCAAAGAAGGAAGCAGGUGUACAAAUUAACCACUUCCAAGUCAGGGAGGUAGUGAUAAAAAACACACACACCAUAUAGGACUCUUUUAAGUCUCUGUAUUUGGAAUGAGUGUGCUUUAAAUCCUUUAACAAGGAUCCAUUGGAGGCCGAGUCUGGUGCCAGCAGCCAUGGUAAUUCCAGCUGCAGU